rnacentral:rRNA from 1 species
AUACGGAGGGUGCAAACGUUGCUCGGAAUCAUAGGGCGUAAAGCGCACGUAGGCGGUUCGGUAAGUCGGAUGUGAAAGCCCUAGGCUUAACCAAGGAAGUGCAUUCGAAACUGCCAAACUUGAGUAUGGGAGAGGGUUGCGGAAUUCUCGGUGAAGAGGUGAAAUUCGUAGAUAUCGGGAGGAACACCAGUGGCGAAGGCGGCAACCUGGACCAAUACUGACGCUGAGGUGCGAAAGCGUGGGGAGCAAACAGGAUUAGAUACCCUAGUAGUCC